ACCUUUUCUCUCUCCUCUCCCUUUCGAUUUUCUGCAACGUCCGUACAAACGUACGGACGAACCUUAAACCAACCCAUUUAUGCACAGAUCGAGCUUAUGAUUAGUACCAUCUCCUUCCUCUCGUCAUCGCGAACUCAACCAUACCAAUUGUUGGACGUGAAACCUUUGAAAACCCGAGAACCCAAGCACCCCGAAGAAGGCACUGUUUAUACUCUUGCGAUCGUGGGGGUUUCAGUUGAUUCUGAGCUUAUGGGAAGCUUUAGAUCACCCUCAUGAUGCUUGGAGUACCAUUUUCACGAAGUUUGGACGUCGGGAUUGUGUAGAACCAGAGAACCCAAUAUUUGGUAUUGUUCAUGUGCUUGUGGAAUUGAAGGUUUCAAGUUAUUUGGAGCUCAUAGGGAGCUUAAGGACCUCUCCACGAAGCUCGAAGAGGAAGAAUGAGGUGAUUUAGACGUCUGGAGACCGAGAUCGAAGCAUCACAGUUUGGCCGGAAUUAUCGAAGGAUCUCUGGCAAAUUCUCGAAGGUUUUAGGUCCAAAUCUUGGUAAAGUUUUGUUUCUUACAUUGUAAGCUUCAUUUUGGUGAAGAUUUCAUGAAAAAUGGUUAAGAAUUGACUGAAAUACGAAGCCUGGAAAAAUUUCCAGAAACCGGCGAAUUGCAGCCGCACCGGCGACGGUUUCUGGCGAACCAAGGAAGAAGGAGGAGUAUAUUCCGUCAAGUCUGACGGAAUAUGCUAACGGCGUCAGUUAUAUUAAACGGUAUAUGCUGAUUUUUAACGGAAUAUUCCCUAACUGCCGUUACUGUUACCGUUAGGGUUCCUUACGCGUGGCGGCGCGUCUUGCCGUGCACUCGCCGGCGCGUGGGUGGUCGGAAAUUUUUUCUAAAAUUAUAAGGUUGUUCGUGAGGUUGAGUAGAUCACUGUGGUAUAUUCAUAUACCCAAAUUGAGCAACGUAUGAGAAGUUAUUUCCAAGGUUUUGAUUAUGUGCUUAAAUAACGUUAUUUCGGUUACUUCUCAUAUAGGCGAGGCUUAUGCGGACGAUGAGCAAAGUUAAGGGAGGCUCGGGGGCUACGACCCUUCGACAUAUCUGUGAGUGGGCAGUUUUGUUUUCGUAUUACCUAUAUACUACUGUUUUUCCCAGAAAAUGCAAUUAUAUGAAAAUAUGUUUUAAAAUGCCAUGCAUGCAAUCGAUGAUAUAUUUGAAUUGAUAAUUGAUGCAUAUAUAUGUGAAUUGACGAUGUUGACGCCCAAGUGAGUUUUUACAUUAUUCAUACAAUUUAUUUUAUGUUUAGAUCCAAAUUAGGGUUCAAGAUUUUUAUAUCUGCAAAACUAAUAUUUUCUACAAAUUUUGAAAAGAGUCCAAACUGAAAAGUCAUGUUAAAUGCAAAAUAAUAGAUGGCUAAAGAGAAAGUCUUUUUUUUUUUUUGGAUAAACUGGAAAUAGCAUUCCAGAGCAAAGGCUAACAAAGUACAAAGAGCAGGUAUACACAAGAGGCCCAAUUACAUGAUACUCAUAAAGAAAAAUAUAUAGACCUCAAAGCAAAACAAGAAAGGGCCCAAAGCACACAUUGAAGUAGGGGUGGGCAAACGGGUCCUGGACUCGCGGGUCAGGGUGGGUCUUUGUGGUUCGGGCUGGGUCAAAAAAUUACAAAUA
rnacentral:lncRNA from 1 species